rnacentral:rRNA from 1 species
AUUGAACGCUGGCGGCAGGCCUAACACAUGUAAGUCGAACGGUAACAGGAAGCAGCUUGCUGCUUUGCUGACGAGUGGCGGACGGGUGAGUAAUGUCUGGGAAACUGCCCGAUGGAGGGGGAUAACUACUGGAAACGGUAGCUAAUACCGCAUAACGUCGCAAGACCAAAGAGGGGGACCUUAGGGCCUCUUGCCAUCGGAUGUGCCCAGAUGGGAUUAGCUAGUAGGUGGGGUAACGGCUCACCUAGGCGACGAUCCCUAGCUGGUCUGAGAGGAUGACCAGCCACACUGGAACUGAGACACGGUCCAGACUCCUACGGGAGGCAGCAGUGGGGAAUAUUGCACAAUGGGCGCAAGCCUGAUGCAGCCAUGCCGCGUGUAUGAAGAAGGCCUUCGGGUUGUAAAGUACUUUCAGCGGGGAGGAAGGGAGUAAAGUUAAUACCUUUGCUCAUUGACGUUACCCGCAGAAGAAGCACCGGCUAACUCCGUG